rnacentral:rRNA from 1 species
UACGUAGGGUGCAAGCGUUGUUCGGAAUUACUGGGCGUAAAGGGCGCGUAGGCGGUCCGCUAAGUUAGAUGUGAAAACUCUGGGCUCAACCCAGAGCCUGCAUCUAAUACUGACGGGCUAGAGUUCUGGAGGGGGUAGCGGAAUUCCUGGUGUAGCGGUGAAAUGCGUAGAUAUCAGGAGGAACACCGGUGGCGAAGGCGGCUACCUGGACAGAAACUGACGCUGAGGCGCGAAAGCUAGGGGAGCAAACAGG